UACGAAGGGGGCUAGCGUUGUUCGGAAUUACUGGGCGUAAAGCGCACGUAGGCGGACAUUUAAGUUGGAGGUGAAAGCCUUGGGCUCAACCCAAGAAUUGCCUUUGAUACUGGAUGUCUCGAGACCGGGAGAGGUGAGUGGAAUUCCGAGUGUAGAGGUGAAAUGCGUAGAUAUUCGCAAGAACACCAGUGGCGAAGGCGGCUCACUGGCCCGGUACUGACGCUGAGGUGCGAAAGCGUGGGAGC
rnacentral:rRNA from 1 species